UUUGAGGGGAAUGUUGUCUGACCCGAGGAUGCUUCUAUGAAUCCAUUUUUCCUUGCAUUUGAUGAUUCUUCUUAUGGAUCUGAUUGUUGUUGUAAUGGAGUAAGGGAUUGAGGUUUGUGCCAGUGCCGUCGGACCAGGCUUCAUUCCCCCCCAAU
rfam:Gossypium raimondii Chr04_contig_902, whole genome shotgun sequence.